UACGUAGGGGGGCAAGCGUUGUCCGGAAUUAUUGGGCGUAAAGAGCGUGUAGGCGGUCCGGUAAGUCGGCUGUGAAAGUCCAGGGCUCAACCCUGGGAUGCCGGUCGAUACUGCCGGACUAGAGUUCGGAAGAGGCGAGUGGAAUUCCCGGUGUAGCGGUGAAAUGCGCAGAUAUCGGGAGGAACACCUAUGGCGAAGGCAGCUCGCUGGGACGUUACUGACGCUGAGAAGCGAAAGCAUGGGGAGCGAACAGG
rnacentral:rRNA from 1 species